rnacentral:misc_RNA from 1 species
AACUUUUAACAAUGGAUCUCUUGGCUCUCGCAUCGAUGAAGAACGCAGCGAAAUGCGAUAAGUAAUUUGAAUUGCAGAAUUCAGUGAAUCAUCGAAUCUUUGAACGCAGCUUGCACCCUUUGGCAUUCCGAAGGGUAUGCUCGUUUGAGUGUCAUUGUACUCUCACACUCCCGAUGAUUUUGGAUUGGGAGUGGUGGACUUGGGUGUUGCUGCUUUACUGUGGCUCACCUCAAAUGGAGUAGUGCAACUCUUGGUUGGACAUAGUACGGCGUGAUAAGUGUCUUCGCCGGCGCCUCAUUAGAGGGUGGCCGAUCGGGAGCUCUGUGCUUCAAACCGUCUUCGGACAACAUCUGACAACUUGACCUCAAAUCGAGUAGGACUACCCGCUGAACUUAAGCAUAUCAAUAAGGGAGGCU